GACGAACGCUGGCGGCGUGCUUAACACAUGCAAGUCGAGCGGAGCGGCGAACGGGUGAGUAACGCGUGAGUAACUGCCCCCCUCCCUGGGAUAACAGUUGGAAACGGCUGCUAAUAGCUGAUAGUGGGGGAUGACUCGGGGCCUAUCAGCUUGUUGGUGGGGUAGUGGCCUACCAAGGCGACGCGGGGUAGCCGGCCUGGGAGGGAGACCGGCCACAAGGGGCUGAGAGACGGCCCAAACGGCUACGGGAGGCAGCAGUGGGGAAUAUUGCACAAUGGUGGAAACCCUGAGGCAGAAACGCCGCGUGCGGGAUGACGGCCUUCGGGUUGUAAACCGCUUUCAGCCAUGACGCGGUAGUGGCAGAAGAAGCACCGGCUAACUACGUGCCAGCAGCCGCGGUAAUUC
rnacentral:rRNA from 1 species